AAUAGAUACCCGGGUAGUCCACGCCGUAAACGAUGGAUGCUAGCUGUUAUGCGUAUCGACCCGUGUAGUAGCGAAGCUAACGCGUUAAGCAUCCCGCCUGGGGAGUACGAACGCAAGUUUAAAACUCAAAGGAAUUGACGGGGACCCGCACAAGCGGUGGAGCGUGUUCUUUAAUUCGAGGCUAAGCGAAGAACCUUACCAGGGCUUGACAUCCUUGGAAUUUCUCCGAAAGGAGAGAGUACUUUAUUGGACCAAGUGACAGGUGCUGCAUGGCCGUCGUCAGCUCGUGUCGUGAGAUGUUUGGUUAAGUCCAUUAACGAGCGCAACCCUUAUGAAUAGUUGUAUUUUUCUAUUCAGACUGCCCGGUAACGGGGAGGAAGGGGGGAUGAUGUCAGGUCAGUAUUGCCCUUACGCCCUGGGCUAGAAACGCGCUACAAUGGCCGGUACAAUACGCUGCCAACCCGCGAGGGGAGCAAAUCGCAUCAAAGCCGGUCCCAGUUCGGAUAAGAGGCUGAAACUCGCCUCUUUGAAGCCGGAAUCGCUAGUAAUCGUAGGUC
rnacentral:rRNA from 1 species